CUCAAUUUUAUUGAGUAAAUAUAGUGGAUUACUCAAUUUUAUUGAGUAAAUAUAGUGAAUCAUUUUUUACAGUGUGGUAACAACUAAAAAAAGACAACCAAAAAUAUAAUUCAACAGAGGAUGAUGGCUGUGGUGAAACAAGCACUCAAAUAAUGGAACUGAGACCUGUGGGAGUGCUGGAGAAAUCAAGUGUACCAAGUCCUGUCUCCUCAGACAUGAAGAGAUCUUCAGACAUGAAGAGAUUGAGGAGUUAAAUGAAGUCAAAGAGCUAAAAGAAGAUUUACAAUAUUAGUGCCAUUUCAGUACGAAAACAGAGAGAUAGCUGAGGCAGUGGAAAGAAAUGCAUGUUAUUGUUCAAGGGGUAGUCGAAUGGACUAUCAGUGGAGGAACAGAAAGCUCUGAGAUUUGAUUAUAAAGAUCUUAAUUUGUGUUGAAUGAAGGACUUGCAAAUCAUCAAGGACUUGCAGGUUUGGAACGAUAUGAGGACUACAUCCAAAAUAGUGUUUCCAUAUCUGAGAUAAAGGCAGUCAUAAGAACCAAGCAGAACGAUGAGGAUAAGCUCUUCAAAAAAUGAAACCUGUCUGAAUAAUGCGGGAAGAAAUGUGCAUGAUUGUGUGAUUUGUAAAUAAACACUAAAUACAUUUAGUGUAACUCUCAGCCUGUUAUUUUAAGUUUAAAGAAAAGUAAAAUCAUUUAUUGUUGCAUUGCUGUUUGAGACAUUCACUGUUGUUUUGUACCUUAAUUUAUUAUAUUGCAGUUGUGUAAAAUAAAACUUGUUAUUCUGAAUAUUCUGGUUGCAUUUCAG